rnacentral:lncRNA from 1 species
UGUGUAUUUUUUUGUGGAGCAAGCACAGAGCUAGAGUGAUAGAAAUGGCUUUUUGAGUAAUAAGCAGAUGGGAAGAUGGAUGAGAUGAAGCAGAGAUAUUGGUGUGAAAUGAUGGAGAGAUGUGCUAGGUAGCUGUGGCAUGCGUGUUAGCAUCUAGCCAGGGAGGGCAGGGGAUAGGAUAAAAACAUAAAAAACGAAUAGAGGCUUUCCUUUUUUGGUAUUUCUGUUAUUGCAAGUCCAAUGUGGGAAGUGCCACCAGUAUCUUUAGAUGCUGCUGUUAUCUGAAGUUCCGCUCCUAUAGCUCACAGCUGAGUUAUACAGACAAGUGUUCAAGGCCAUGUAAUUAACGCAGUGGAAACUACCAAGUGGAUCCAGCAGUUAUAGUGAUGUAGAAGAAACGAAGCUUGAUACAUCUUUUAAUGGCACGGGAAUAAGAUGCCUUCACUGCUGGAUAGUGGAGGGUAAAUUUCCUUCCACUCGCUUAUAGCAGUAGUGGCUACUAAAAGAGGAAAGUAGCAGUUCAGUCACCUUAUCAGGAUCCCCCUCCAGGAAAACUAACGUCAUUUGGAAGAGUAUGCACCAGUUCAUCCUCAGUUUAUUGUGGAAGGUCAGUGAGCAUGAGUAAAAGUUACCCUGGUACUUCCAGUCUACAUUUUCAGCAGUGUAUGCAGUUUCCUUCAUUUGGUGGCUCAAUAAUGCAUUUUUAAGUGGACUUGAACACUUUGCCAAUCACCUUCUCCAACACAGGAUUACUACUGAAAUGAAUUCUACCAUGAAAAUGUUUGGGUUUUUUUUUUUCCUGUACUGAUUUUAGCAUCCAAUUUUCUUUGGUAGAAAUGGAACAAGGGUUUACUCUCAUGGGUUGUAAUGGCUGCUAGCAUGGGUGAGUUUUUUCUUGGCUUUAUAAUGAAAAUUUUGUUCUUUCUUUGGAGUCCAACAUUUAGGGUUUGACAAUGGAGUGAAAAGUACAAUUGGAAUGGGCACUUUUCAGCUAGGGAAUACUUUCAUGUCAAAAAGUAGCUGCAAGGCACUUGAUCGCAAUUUUCAAGUGUGGUUCCUAAGAGGCUUUUAGGCACACUUCCACAAAAGUUGCACAGCAGUUUUCUUGCUUUACUUCUGAUGUGAAAUCCAAAUCAGAUGCUUAAUAAAGU